ACCUCACCCUUAUACAUAAUUCCUCCAACAAACUUAUCACAUGCACACUACAAUUUCAUACAUACAUGAAUACAGUGAUUUUAGUAGGGGAGGACCACAAAAUAUUCUUUGGGGACCACUCAUAUUCUUUUUUUCUCCCCAAGCACUCACCUAGGCUCACAAUUAAUAUAAAGGGGAUGAGAAGACAGUGAUAAAAAAGAACAGAGAGAGACAGAUAGGAGGAGAUAGAGCAAAAUUGGGGAAAACACAGAUCUGAAGAAAAAAAGCCACACCUCCGUUUUUCUAUUUCAUCUUUUUCCUAAAAUCCUUCAUUAAACCACCCUCAAACACCCCAAAGAGCCCAUUUUUUUGCCAUGAAAGUGCAACCAUGAAACCUUCAUUAAGCCACUCUUAAACUCCAUCAAACAACUCCAAAAUCACUCCAAAACACCAUUGUUUACAGCUGAAAAAUGCAACAAAAUGACCAUUGAAGGAAGCUCCAAAAGCUCACCAAAAGUCAGCAAUAAAGCCACCACAAACACCUCCCAAACCCAGCUCGAAAAUAGCCCCCAAAAGCCUCAAAUUUCAGCCAAAAACUGACCCCAAAAGCACAACAAAGGUAGUUUCAAUUUUCUCCAUUAAUCACGUUGAAGCUCUGUCACCCGAGGUCGCCGGCGAGUUUACCAUGCCUGGUUUGGUUUGUUCGAAUUCUCUCAUUGAGUUUACAUGUUUGUAUUCAAUAAAUCGUCAUGUAUAUAAAAGUUAUUAGGCGGCAAAAAAAAUCCAAAGUGGGAGAUAUAGUUGGGAGCAAAACGGAGUGGCUUCACUGUUCAAGCUUGCUUUAGACGCGAUUAAUAAAUUAUCGUGGUCAUGGGUACGGUUCUCAUGGCAUGGUCACGAUCCAUAAAUCUAAAUUCAGGGACAGACCAACGUGGGGCCAAGUGGGUCAUCUGAACCUGUUGUUUACCCGUAAAACAGUAUGGCUAAAUUUUAUAAUAUGGUUUAUAGACAAGCGAAUCAAUUUAAUCCCAAAAUAAUAAAUAAAUUAAAUAAAAUGCAAGACUUAGCGUUGAAAUUGAGAUAAGACAACAAACAGCUUGGUUCCCGGAUCAAGGCUUCUGUAGACAACAAUAAGAAUAUUAAUAGACAGAAAAUAAAGUAUUAUUGAGCUUAGAAUAAUAUGUAGCAUAAGUUUGUCAGAAAUUUCGUGUCUUACAAUGGCUGUUGAACUCACUAUUUAUAGCUAUACCUAGGGAACAAGGUCCUAUGAUCAAGCCCCUCUUAAAUGACAAUUAUGGGGGCCAUUGAUGAAGGUGUAAUGGCAGGCUAUGAAUGACAAGAUUCUUUGUAACGGAUUGUGUAUUUAAUAUUGAGAAAUAUUCUUCACUGAAUGUCAUCGGGUGACAAAUAUUCAUUUGUCCUCAUUAGCAAUAUUCCUUUCGGAGUCUACCCAGUGUCAACCGAAGCUACUGUCCAUGGUCUUGGUUUCCACUUGCCUCGUUUUUUGUCUGUCUCUGGCUCCACGUGUCGCCCUAUUAUUCGAGUAUUUAAUAUGAACCAAUUUUACCCUAAACAGAUAGUCCCCCUACUUUCCGGUGGCACAUCUUUGUGUCAUUGGGAAGUUGGUGAAGAUACCUCUCUUGGCGGGAAAUUUUUUGAUCCCUUUUGAAAAGUUUCUGACACUCGAUUAGAUGCACGUCUCUCCGCAUUUGAUGCCCCGAACACUCGUCACUCCACGAUUUUGCAAUAUUUUAACUGGUCUCUAGUUAAUCAUGGUCACGAUUUUAGUCGCCUAUUUCUUUACUUAUACGCCUUAUUCUUCUUCUUUUACGCUUCACAGUUCUUCAAACUCUCUAAACUUCUUUGCAUUCACCUCUUUCUUUCUUUCACUCUUCUUCUUCAAAGAACUCUUAUUUCCUUCUACUAACCAUGACUUCCUUCUCCAAGAAUUCAGGUUCUCUUAAAAAUAAAGAAAACACCGAUGAUGUUGCCCCUCCUACGGUAAGUACCACAUUCCCAGAAGACUUAAAACAACCAAGGAUUUCGAAGAGAAGUUUUCUUCUACAAGCUCUCGUACAUGGGCUGUUGGUGGAUACCCUUCUUCCAUCCAUCCUUCUUGCAUUCCUGCCGUGGAGGAGGAUUAUGAUUGCCAUGAUCUGAACAUCAUCGCUCCCGAACUGGUGAAGCAAGUAACCUUUCCGAAGAAAGGUUUUAUGUACGUCUAUACGUACCCAUUUACUUUGGGUGCGUUUUCUUUGAGCGGGGGAAUUGACCCCAUGAUUUUGGAGCUAUGCCACAAAUACCAAAUUGUUUUGGUACAGGUGGGCCCUUCGGUCUCGCAAACGAUAACCUAUCUACGGCAGCUAUGCUAGGAGAUGAAUGAAGAGCUCACCUUGGCUCGCAUGAGGAACCUCUACUCCCCCAAGAUUUUCCGUGGGGGAGUAAUAAAUUUUAUCAAAUGUGACCACCAUGCUUUGCUCAGCAACAUGGAUGACGACAAAGACCAUGGAUUGAUGGAGCGGUUCAUUAUUGUUGCCACCAGGGAUAUCAUCCCAGCCAUAACUCCAUCUUUCCCUGAGUCUUGGACUCAUACACAUAAGUUCAAACUCUAUCUUUUCUUUGAAAAAAGGUUAUUUCGUGUUGUUACUUAUCCUUCUCUUUUUAUUAUUUCAACAACUCGGUGGACAUCACCAAGGGUUGAAGGCUUGGACCAGUGGGUUCAGAAUAUUCUAGAUAUUACCACGCCUGAGACCUACCGGUGGAAAGAACAGGCCCUAAAAUACGGGUGGAAGACCAAAAAUCACAAUAAGUUGACUCGUGAGAUUGAUUUUAUCCUCAUCUCAUUUUUUGUGUAAGAAAAUUGGUUAACUUCUUUUUUUCGUUGAAUUCAGGUCUUCCGCAGGGCUCUUUUACCAUCCCCGAUGAGGAUGUUCUGGCUGAUCCUGCAGAGGCUGCGAGGUUACUGAAGGAGGCCUUCACCCGAAUAGGCUCCAUCAGAUCCUCUUUUGAUGCAAGUGCUUCCUCUCGGAGUCCCUGGCCAGAGAACAAGCAACCAAAAAGGUGGCACUCUUCCUCGGCCGAGAGCAAAAAUAAAAAAGGUGAAGAGCGUUGCACCCGAGCCAGCCGCAGUCACUAAAGUGAUUAAUGAUGAUGGGGAAGCCAGUGAUGAAGGGGCUUCCUUAUAGAGGAGGCAACGACCUUCAUCAGCUCAAUAGAAUGCUCAAUCUUGAGAGCUUAUAACACCAACCGAGGACGACGCCCAAGCGCUCUAGGGAGAGUAUGACCUAGUGGAGAAUGUCAAUUCUCCCUUUCGAGCUCCAAUCGAUGUUCCUGGUACUAUGAGGCUGAGUAUCGGGCCUCUUCCGUCUUGGGUUGAUGAGAAACUGAUCGGAGCCAACCCUAUACUAUUAUAGAAUGGCAAGAACGGUCAAGAGUUGAAUCAACUCAUCAAGGAAACUCUUUCUAUAACAUUGGUCAUUGUGGAACCCAAACUCAUACUCCUAGAUUCUCCAUAUGCAAACCUCACUGUUAGAUUGUAGUACUCAGAACGAGGAUUGUGGAAAACAUACUCAUCUCUCUCAAAGGAAGGUCACAAGUCCGGCUCUAAGUACCAUAAACUUGCCCCUUAUGUGAGUCACCACUAAUGUAAGCUCACUCAACUCUAGAUCAUAUAGGGUUUUUGUGGGAAUGUAAUGAAGGCUUUUGUUUCAGGGUAGGAAAUAUUGGUCUA